rnacentral:rRNA from 1 species
GCAGUCGAGCGGACAGAUGGGAGCUUGCUCCCUGAUGUUAGCGGCGGACGGGUGAGUAACACGUGGGUAACCUGCCUGUAAGACUGGGAUAACUCCGGGAAACCGGGGCUAAUACCGGAUGGUUGUUUGAACCGCAUGGUUCAGACAUAAAAGGUGGCUUCGGCUACCACUUACAGAUGGACCCGCGGCGCAUUAGCUAGUUGGUGAGGUAACGGCUCACCAAGGCGACGAUGCGUAGCCGACCUGAGAGGGUGAUCGGCCACACUGGGACUGAGACACGGCCCAGACUCCUACGGGAGGCAGCAGUAGGGAAUCUUCCGCAAUGGACGAAAGUCUGACGGAGCAACGCCGCGUGAGUGAUGAAGGUUUUCGGAUCGUAAAGCUCUGUUGUUAGGGAAGAACAAGUGCCGUUCAAAUAGGGCGGCACCUUGACGGUACCUAACCAGAAAGCCACGGCUAACUACGUGCCAGCAGCCGCGGUAAUACGUAGGUGGCAAGCGUUGUCCGGAAUUAUUGGGCGUAAAGGGCUCGCAGGCGGUUUCUUAAGUCUGAUGUGAAAGCCCCCGGCUCAACCGGGGAGGGUCAUUGGAAACUGGGGAACUUGAGUGCAGAAGAGGAGAGUGGAAUUCCACGUGUAGCGGUGAAAUGCGUAGAGAUGUGGAGGCACACCAGUGGCGAAGGCGACUCUCUGGUCUGUAACUGACGCUGAGGAGCGAAAGCGUGGGGAGCGAACAGGAUUAGAUACCCUGGUAGUCCACGCCGUAAACGAUGAGUGCUAAGUGUUAGGGGGUUUCCGCCCCUUA